ensembl:lncRNA
ACAGAACCAAUAGAGGAAGAGUCAGGAGAGACAGUUCAAGUACAUGUGACAGUACGACGUCCAACACACACACACACACACACACACACACCAAAUAAAGACAACAGAGCUGUCUUAAAAACUCUUUUUAUUGACUAAGACCAACGUUUUUUAGUAAAACAUGCAAUAUAUAUAUUUGAAAAAAGGAUCUCAACUUUAUUGCUCGUCGUCAUUUAGAGUAAUAGAUGAUCAGAUGCAUAAUAAUAAUAACAAUAACAAUAAUAAUAAUAAUCCUGUUCCACAGCAAUCUCAUCACAAGGAAACAACACGUCUAGACGGUUCCACGGGUUCUAGUUGUGGUAAAUAAAAUAAAAACACAGACCCAGUCCGGUCCACAUAGUAACAUCAAUAAUAGAAACCAACGCUUCUAUUCUGCCCAAACCCGGGUUUGUGACCUUUCACCCUUUUUCAUACCAGGAAGGACCCAACACUUCUAAUCUGCCCAAACCGUGGUUUGUGACCUUUCACCCUUUUUCAUAGCAGGAAGUUGUUUCUUAGACAAACACACACACACACACACACACACACACACACACACACACACACACACACACACACACACACACACACACACACACACACACACACACACACACACACACACACACACACUGAUUAAUUUGUAAAUCGGGAGGGUCCGGGGAACAUUUUCAGUAGCCUAGGGUCCGGGAACAUUUUCAGUAGCCUAGGGGUCUGGGAACAUUUUCAGUAGCCGAGGGUCCGGGAACAUUUUCAGUAGCCUAGGGGUCCGGGAACAUUUUCAGUAGCCUAGGGUCCGGGAACAUUUUCAGUAGCCUAGGGUCCAGGGAAAUGUUGUCCCCGGCAACUUUUAAUCGUUUUAAAUUGCAAAAAAAGUAACAAUUAUUUUUCACACCACGAUACCACACACACACACACACACACACACACACACACACACACACACACACACACACACACACACACACACGUUAAAACACGUUAACACACACAUGCUAGGGCCAGAGUGAUGGUGUUUGGUCAGUAGUGUUGAAGAUCUAACCUCAGGCUGCCUCAUGGAUCCAUCCCCAUUGUUCCAUCCUCAUGGAUCCAUCAUCAUGGUUCCAUUCCCUUGGUACCACCCUCAUGGUUCCAUCAUCAUGGUUCCACCCUCAUGGUACCACCCUCAUGGAUCCA